UUCAGGAAGUUUUUUUGAACGAGCAUUUGUACAAGCAGUUUCAAACUUUUAACACGAGAUCAUACGAGUUUAUAUGUUGGAUUGCAAACGAAUAUCAAAGAAUAAAUCAGGUAAGAAUGGCUUUAUUUCUUUCUGGUGAUAUACAUGAAGGCAUUUAGAUCUGCUGUUCUAUAGCAUUUGAUACAGAGGUAUUGAAACAUAUGAUUUCAUGAUGUCAAUAAUAACUGUCUUAUUUUAUAUACAAGGAGCUUGAAAAUGUACUUUGAGUUUAUUUGUUUGUGUGGCGAUGUGCCAAGGCGAUGAGUUUUAUAUAGUGUUCAUUUUAGAUGUUUAUGGUAAUGGUGCUUUCAGCACGUUUUAAAAACAAACGCGGACUGUUUAAAAUACAUGUGCUCGUAUUAAUCAGGCUUCCUAUAGUAAGGGGCGACAUCCAUACUCAAAUUGCCACGCAAAACGUCAUUUUGACGUUUUGAGUGGGUGGGUGAGUUUUCAAGAGUCAGUUUGACGUUUUGCGUGGCAGUUUGAAUUUUUU